GACGAACGCUGGCGGCGUGCUUAACACAUGCAAGUCGAACGGAAAGGCCCUGCUUUUGUGGGGUGCUCGAGUGGCGAAAGGGUGAGUAACACGUGAGUAACCUGCCCUUGACUUUGGGAUAACUUCAGGAAACUGGGGCUAAUACCGGAUAGGAGCUCCUGCUGCAUGGUGGGGGUUGGAAAGUUUCGGCGGUUGGGGAUGGACUCGCGGCUUAUCAGCUUGUUGGUGGGGUAGUGGCUUACCAAGGCUUUGACGGGUAGCCGGCCUGAGAGGGUGACCGGCCACCUUGGGACUGCGAUACGGCCCAGACUCCUACGGGAGGCAGCAGUGGGGAAUAUGGCACAAUGGGCGGAAGCCUGAUGCAGCAACGCCGCGUGCGGGAUGACGGCCUUCGGGUUGUAAACCGCUUUCGCCUGUGACGAAGCGUGAGUGACGGUAAUGGGUAAAGAAGCACCGGCUAACUACGUG
rnacentral:rRNA from 1 species